UACGGAGGAUCCGAGCGUUAUCCGGAUUUAUUGGGUUUAAAGGGUGCGUAGGCGGCCUAUUAAGUCAGGGGUGAAAGACGGUAGCUUAACUAUCGCAGUGCCUUUGAUACUGAUGGGCUUGAAUGUAGUUGAGGUAGGCGGAAUGUGACAAGUAGCGGUGAAAUGCAUAGAUAUGUCACAGAACACCAAUUGCGAAGGCAUCUUACUAAAGUAUGAUUGACGCUGAGGCACGAAAGCGUGGGGAUCAAACAGG
rnacentral:rRNA from 1 species